GUUGCUUCAUUGUAUGACGGUUUCACAGUAAUUUGGGUUGGUUGCAUCUUUUCCAUGUUUUAUUUUUUUUUAGGAGACUGCAUGUCUACAACAACAGGACGCGUCAAAUGGUUUGACGCAAAAAAAGGUUUUGGUUUUAUUGAACAAGAAAGUGGUGAUGAUGUAUUUGUUCACUUCAGAGCUAUUCAAGGUGAUGGUUACAAAUCACUAGAGGAAGGCCAAGAAGUAGAAUUCGAACUUGAAGAUGGCGCUAAAGGCCCUCAAGCUGCUAACGUAGUAGCGAAAUAAUUUAAGAAUUAUUUUAUAAAAACCCAGCCUCAGUGCUGGGUUUUUAAA
rfam:Candidatus Thioglobus singularis PS1, complete genome.